rnacentral:tRNA from 1 species
UUAAUUGAAACCAAAAAGAGGUCUAUCACUGUUAAUGAUAAAAUUGAGACAUUCUCCAAUUAAA